rnacentral:rRNA from 1 species
GAUGAAGGGGGCUAGCGUUGUUCGGAAUUACUGGGCGUAAAGCGCGUGUAGGUGGUUGUCCAAGUUGGAUGUGAAGGCCUUGAGCUCAACUCAAGAAAUGCAUUCAGGACUGGGCGGCUAGAGGACCGGAGAGGAUAGUGGAAUUCCCAGUGUAGUGGUGAAAUACGUAGAGAUUGGGAAGAACACCAGUGGCGAAGGCGGCUAUCUGGACGGUUUCUGACACUAAGACUCGAAAGCGUGGGGAGCAAACAGG